rnacentral:rRNA from 1 species
UGGAGAGUUUGAUCCUGGCUCAGGAUGAACGCUAGCGGCAGGCUUAACACAUGCAGGUCGAGGGGUAACAGGCAAAAGCUUGCUUUUUGCUGACGACCGGCGAACGGGUGCGUAACGCGUAUAGAAUCUGCCUUGUACAGGAGGAUAGCCUUUAGAAAUGAAGAUUAAUACUCCAUAAUGUUGAGAGAUGGCAUCAUCUUUUAAUUAAAGAUUUAUCGGUACAAGAUGACUAUGCGUCCUAUUAGCUAGAUGGUAAGGUAACGGCUUACCAUGGCAACGAUAGGUAGGGGGUCUGAGAGGAUUAUCCCCCACACUGGUACUGAGACACGGACCAGACUCCUACGGGAGGCAGCAGUGAGGAAUAUUGGUCAAUGGAGGCAACUCUGAACCAGCCAUGCCGCGUGCAGGAAGACUGCCCUAUGGGUUGUAAACUGCUUUUAUACAGGAAGAAACUUAGUUACGUGUAACUAACUGACGGUACUGUAAGAAUAAGCACCGGCUAACUCCGUGCCAGCAGCCGCGGUA